UUCCGGGAGCUUCCAAACCCCAGUUCUACCCGCUUCGGUCCCCAUGCGCUAAAGCCCAGGCGCCCAGAUGCCUUCUGGCUCUGUAACUUCAAAGCUCCGGCUUGCCGCUUCAGGACACAAGCACCCGCCUCCUCCGGUUCCUGCGGAUUUCGUGGAUGUCACCGCGUCCCCCGCAGUUCUGUGUGUCUUCAUAAAACAUCCCUAGGAUUCCUGCUGCUGGCCUCGAGCUGGAAUUUUGAGUUUCAGAAAGGCUGAGAGUCCUUGCGCGGACGUGGCAAGGUUACUGGGCUACUUACCGAUCUAUUUGUUUGGAGACACGUUCCUGAUGUUGGUGUAACGAACUAAGGUCUUCGGAGAAAGAGAGGGAAAGACGGAGGGAGAAAAGGUCAGAAAGGACAGAAGAAAAGAGCCGGGGAAAAGGAACGUGGAGAAGAGCAGGAAACAUGUUCCCGCUGCGGGAUUGGUCCCUCUAUAGGUGUUUGUCUGUAAAACCUCACUUAUGGCUUUUCCUCGUUAGUAUAGUGAAAUCCUAUGCUCCACUGCCAUGGAUGGGUGGAAGACGCUCAGAAAAGAAUCUUAACUCACCUUCUGCCCAGCAGUACUCCUCCUUCAUCGGCCUUGUAGGAACCCCCUGAAUUUGAUCGUGGAUAAAGCGAACCCCCAAGAGUGCUGUUCAAAGCUCCUUACUUCCCCCAGAUUUUCUUCCACCUUAUUCCAUUUUUGUCCCGAAGAUUGGCUUUAUUUUCCUUAUUUUUAAAAGACAAAUAAGAGCACGCAAGAACAAUUUUUUUAUUACUUUUUUUAAGCAUGCGCUAAGGAAGCGUAUACAUCAGGUGUCCACCUUCACCAGGGUUUUGUUUUCUAAUUCUUGGUUGGCCUGUAACCCCAGCAGACCUUUAACUCCAGGAAUAAUCCUCUGGCCUCAGCCCCCCCAGAGGGUGGCUUACAGAAGUUCAUCUCCUCCGCUCCCAUUUUUUUCUCCUGGUUUAAUUUUUAUUUUGUUUUUUUGAAACAAGACUUUAUGUAUCCAAACUGA